rnacentral:rRNA from 1 species
AUUAGAUACCCUGGGUAGUCCACGCAGUAAACGAUGAUAACUGGUUGUCGGCGAUAUAAUGUCGGUGACUAAGCGAAAGCGAUAAGUUAUCCACCUGGGGAGUACGUUCGCAAGAAUGAAACUCAAAGGAAUUGACGGGGGCCCGCACAAGCGGAGGAACAUGUGGUUUAAUUCGAUGAUACGCGAGGAACCUUACCCGGGCUUGAAAGUUACUGACGAUUCUGGAAACAGGAUUUCCCUUCGGGGCAGGAAACUAGGUGCUGCAUGGUUGUCGUCAGCUCGUGCCGUGAGGUGUCGGGUUAAGUCCCAUAACGAGCGCAACCCCUACCGUUAGUUGCCAUCAGGUAAAGCUGGGCACUCUGGCGGGACUGCCGGUGUAAGCCGAGAGGAAGGUGGGGAUGACGUCAAAUCAGCACGGCCCUUACGUCCGGGGCUACACACGUGUUACAAUGGCAGGUACAGAGGGCAGCUACCCAGCAAUGGGAUGCGAAUCUCGAAAGCCUGUCUCAGUUCGGAUUGGAGGCUGAAACCCGCCUCCAUGAAGUUGGAUUCGCUAGUAAUCGCGCAUCAGCCAUGGCGCGGUGAAUACGUUCCCGGGCCUUGUACACACCGCCCGUCAAGCCAUGGGAGCCGGGGGUGCCUGAAGUUCGUGACCGCAAGGAGCGACCUAGGGCAAAACUGGUGACUGGGGCUAAGUCGUAACAAGGUAGC